CUUAAUGAUGAGUCCUUACAUACUUUGUUUUGCGAAGUUGAGUCUAUAAUCAAUGAUAGACCAAUUACCAGGAAUUCAGAUUCACAUAAUGACCUUGAGACCUUAACCCCGAAUCACCUUCUUCUUAUGAAACGUAAGCCAAGUUUACCUCCAGGAAUCUUUGCGAAAACAGAUAAUUACACUAGACGUCGCUGGAGACAAGUUCAGUACAUGUCUGAUCUGUUUUGGCAUCGAUGGACUCGAGAAUAUUUACCUCUACUUCAAGAACGUCAGAAGUGGUGUGACGUCAAAAGAAAUUUAUGCGUUGGUGAUGUUGUCCUAGUUGUAGAUUCUAAGGCGCCAAGGAAUUCGUGGUUGAUGGGUAAAGUAACAGAGACUAUUCCAGAUAGAUUAGGCCAUGUUAGGCAAGUGAAGUUGAAAACUGUGUUCAAUACGAGCUUGGUACGUCCAGUUGACAAGCUAUGCUUGCUUCUUGAAGUGGAAACAUAGAUUGCUUCACUGUUCUUAAGGGGCAUAAUAAUCCCCGUGAAACAAUCUUGAUAACAAGUAGUAUUCAAUAUCUUGUGAAUUUUUCUAGUCAGCAAGAGAAACAGUUUAAUUAUUGUGAUCGAUAUAAACUAGUCUAAACUGUUGUUACAGAAGAAAUUGAACUAUGUGUGUUGUUUCAAGAGAAAAUUGAACUACUUGAAGGAACUACCUUAUACAUGCAUGUUUGUCUAUUGAACUAUCUGAUAUGUUGAACUAUUGUAUGUUGAGCUAAAUAACUGAUGAGGCAUUUAUAGCUUAAUUUUUUUUUUUAAUUUUUAUUCUUGAAGAUAUUUGAAAGGUCUUACUAGAGAAUCACUUGAGAAUUCAUAUGUUGUAAACUUUAGUUUGAGAAUACAGUGUAUUUUGUAAAAUACCUUUAAUGUCUUUAAAUUAUGCAUAUGGUUCAAAACUCAAGAAUUUAUUUUUGCAAAUUGAGUUACUGUAUCUUAAGUUUUGAAGUUGUGUUGAGUAAUUGUGUCAGAUGUUAUCUUCACAAUUAAGGGGCUGGGAUGUAAGUGCCACUCGUAACGGUCGGUACUUACCGGCAUUUAGCCGUUUUGUUAGACGACAACGAUAAUGUUGCUUUGAUUUUCGUGAGCAGUUUAGCCAUGUUUCCAGAGUAUUUUUUCUAGAAAAUUGUUCGUUUUUUUUGUACUGAAAAGGUUCAAAUACAUGUACUAUAAUUUGUCAAUCGUAACAUAACGAACUGGAUAUAACACCAUGCAGCAUGAUGUAAUAAAGAUCAUUUUGAAACAGUUA
rnacentral:lncRNA from 1 species